rnacentral:other from 1 species
GACUCUCUGCUCUGCAGGUGAGGUUUUAUUUGCCCCAGCGGAAUAUUUUUCAAAACGGGUUGAACAAGGAUGUGUUGUGUGCCAGCCCAACCUGGAUUGGGACGCCUGAUACGCAGCCUGUGAUUCCCACUUAUUUAGGACUCGCUUGGAGGCCUGAAAACCCACGGCAGCAGUGGAGAGUUU